rnacentral:rRNA from 1 species
UGAGGAAUAUUGGUCAAUGGGCGCAAGCCUGAACCAGCCACGUCGCGUGAAGGAAGACGGCCCUACGGGUUGUAAACUUCUUUUGUAAGGGAAUAAAGUGUAGUACGUGUACUAUUUUGCAUGUACCUUACGAAUAAGGAUCGGCUAACUCCGUGCCAGCAGCCGCGGUAAUACGGAGGAUCAGAGCGUUAUCCGGAUUUAUUGGGUUUAAAGGGUGCGCAGGCGGGAGAUUAAGUCGGCGGUGAAAUUUUGCAGCUUAACUGUAAAAGUGCCUUCGAAACUGGUUUCCUUGAGUGUAGAUGAAGUAGGCGGAAUUUGUGGUGUAGCGGUGAAAUGCAUAGAUAUCACGAGGAACUCCGAUUGCGCAGGCAGCUUACUAAACUACUACUGACGCUCAGGCACGAAGGCGUGGGGAUCAAACAG